rnacentral:rRNA from 1 species
CUAGCUGGUCUGAGAGGAUGACCAGCCACACUGGAACUGAGACACGGUCCAGACUCCUACGGGAGGCAGCAGUGGGGAAUAUUGCACAAUGGGCGCAAGCCUGAUGCAGCCAUGCCGCGUGUAUGAAGAAGGCCUUCGGGUUGUAAAGUACUUUCAGCGGGGAGGAAGGGAGUAAAGUUAAUACCUUUGCUCAUUGACGUUACCCGCAGAAGAAGCACCGGCUAACUCCGUGCCAGCAGCCGCGGUAAUACGGAGGGUGCAAGCGUUAAUCGGAAUUACUGG